GUCUACAGCCAUGACACCCUGAACAAGUCCGAUCCCAUCUGAUCUCGGAAGCUAAGCAGGGUCGGGCCUGGUUAGUACUUGGAUGGGAGACCACCUAGGAAGACCAGGUGCUGUAGGCA
rnacentral:rRNA from 1 species